GAGAGUUUCGCUGGAACCGUAGGCCACAGCCGCCGCCGCCGCCGCCGCCUCCAUUGGAGAAUGCCCACUGAAUAGGAAUCGAUCCCUGUCUCCAUCAGUGGUUUGGCUGAAUUGAGUCUCGUUUGGGAGUAAGAAGAUUUACUCCGAUGGCGAAUAUGCCGGAGAAAUUGAACCAGUGUAAGCUUGAUGCUCGCCGUGAACAAUGCCUUUCGCAAGGUCCUGCAUUCAUUUUCUUUUCUUUUUUUGAUUUUUACAGUUCUGUAUUUUUCUUGCAUAAAUUAAAUUGGAAUCUUGCAUCCACUAAUUAUCUAGAGCUUGCUCUCUUUUUUUCAUUCACAAUGAAUUUCCUGGGCCCUUUGAUUGUAUUGGCAUAUCUUUCCUUUUAUAUAUUGUGACUGUCAGGAAGACGUAGGAUAACCUUGGUUAUUAUGGGUGCUUCAUAUGUAACCAUAUCUAACUUGGAUGUUGGAUAACCUUUAUUUUUGGUUGUUUCUGGUUGGUAGUCUUUGUGAUGAUCAGUUGGGAAGUGUAUAUAUGCCUGCUUGCUAUGGUUGUUUUAUUAUUAAUGAAACUUGCAAGUGUCCUGAGGUUUGUGAUGAUCAGUUGGGAAGUUGUUUAUUCUAAUGAAACAGAGAGCAGGUUGCGUAGGUUGUACUAUGGCUAUCAUGAAGAAUGUUUUAAGGUGUCUUUCGGAUCUUUUACCUGUUUGCUGUUGCUUUUCUGCUGAUCUACCAGUCACUUUUCCAUCUAUUUCACCACCUUAGCUGCAAUUUUCUUCGAUGGAGGUUGUAGGAGUUGAAAUUCUCUCUCUGACAGAACUAUUAGCCAUUUCUUGGACUGGAUUUGGCUGUUGAUGAAAUGACUCUGCAUCAUAUUGUAGGAUUGCAUUAAGUGCUUCUUGUACUAACUUUAUGGCUGCAGUCUGUUGCAGUCCAAGUUUCUCUGUCUUUGCAACUUGGUCAUCAACUUCCUAGAGAUUGUUGCUGUUUUUACUCAGCUCCAUAUUCAAGUUACUCAUCUCAUGGCUAUUGUUUCCAUCUCCACUUUCUUUUUCAUCUGCUUGAAUGAUAUCUUGGGCCUCAUUCGUUUAUGGUUCA